CCUACGGGUGGCAGCAGUGAGGAAUAUUGGGCAAUGGGCGCAAGCCUGACCCAGCGACGCCGCGUGGGUGACGAAGGCCUUCGGGUCGUAAAACCCUUUUGUCAGGGACGAGUGAGGACGGUACCUGGCGAAUAAGUCUCGGCUAACUACGUGCCAGCAGCCGCGGUAAAACGUAGGAGGCGAGCGUUAUCCGGAUUUACUGGGCGUAAAGCGCGCGUAGGCGGGUGGGUAAGUCUGACGUGAAAGCCCCUGGCUCAACUGGGGGAGGUCGUUGGAUACUGCCCGGCUUGAGGGUAGUGGAGGAGAGCGGAAUUCCCGGUGGAGGGGUGAAAUGCGUAGAUAUCGGGAGGAACACCAGAGGCGAAGGCGGCUCUCUAUGCUACUCCUGACGCUGAGGCACGAAAGCUAGGGGAGCAAACGGGAUUAGAUACCC
rnacentral:rRNA from 1 species